GACGAACGCUGGCGGCGUGCUUAACACAUGCAAGUCGAACGGAAAGACCCUGCUUUUGUGGGGUGCUCGAGUGGCGAACGGGUGAGUAACACGUGAGUAACCUGCCCUUGACUUUGGGAUAACUUCAGGAAACUGGGGCUAAUACCGGAUAGGAGCUCCUGCUGCAUGGUGGGGGUUGGAAAGUUUCGGCGGUUGGGGAUGGACUCGCGGCUUAUCAGCUUGUUGGUGGGGUAGUGGCUUACCAAGGCUUUGACGGGUAGCCGGCCUGAGAGGGUGACCGGCCACAUUGGGAUUGAGAUACGGCCCAGACUCCUACGGGAGGCAGCAGUGGGGAAUAUUGCACAAUGGGCGGAAGCCUGAUGCAGCAACGCCGCGUGCGGGAUGACGGCCUUCGGGUUGUAAACCGCUUUCGCCUGUGACGAAGCGUGAGUGACGGUAAUGGGUAAAGAAGCACCGGCUAACUACGUG
rnacentral:rRNA from 1 species